ACAUCUAUUCAGCUUCAGGUACGGUACAGCCAGCAUCCUCCAGUGCAUGCACUUUCUGGAGGAGUUCCAGAAGUUGCUUGCGCUGUUUCCCGACGUCACUCUUGACGAAAUUGAUUCGGCGCCAUCCGAAGUGGUGAAGCUGCUCCCCCUCCAGUGAAGAGGCCAAAGAGAGGUAAUUCUAGAGGAAUUAAUUUCAAUAAUUAUCACGUGAUAUGGAUGACGAUCACUUAUCUUUUGCACAGGUGUUUCUCGAGUAAGGACAGUUGGGGGUGAAGCUGGUCCUUCGAGGCCUAAGAAAGGUCCCGGAGGGUAUGAUCACGUUGAUCCUCCGGUCUUGAACGGAGAGGGUCCCUGCCCGUACUGCCACCUGUCACCGUGUGUCAGAGCCAGACCACCCAGCUGGCUGAUUGGAAGUGCUGCACCUAAUUUGAGGAAUAUGGUGAAGCGCUUCAAACUAUACCGCAAGUAUUGGACGCUGCUAGGUCAGUUGGGGGUAUGGAAUCACCCUCUAUAUAUGGCAUAUAAAGUGACCAAAACCAGUGCACAUGACAAGAGGGAUGUGAUGCCUGACUGUGUAUUGAGAGAGGUGCGUGAACGAUUUCCGAAUCCAGAUGGAGUUCCAUACACAGACUUCCAGUCUUCUACUUCCUUUAUUGUUUAAUUAUGUAAAAUGCCAUGUAAAAUGCUGAUUGGCUAGUCAAAAUGUGCACGGAUACGUACUUACUUUAUA